CCCCCCCCCAUAAGAGGUCCAGCCUGCCCAGUGACUUUGUUCAACGGCCGCGGUAUUCUAACCGUGCAAAGGUAGCGUAAUCACUUGUUUUCUAAAUAGAGACCUGUAUGAAAGGCACCACGAGAGCUAAACUGUCUCCUUUUUCCAAUCAGUGAACCUAAUACCCCUGUGAAAAAGCAGGAAUUAAAAUAUAAGACGAGAAGACCCUGUGGAGCUUAAAACAUUCUUCACUUGCCAUUUCACCACUUCACCCCGGUUCAUCACUAAACGACAACUCUGACCCAAUGUUUUUGGUUGGGGCGACCACGGAGAAAAACUUAUCCUCCAUAAUGAAAGGAUUUCCUAAGCUAUAAAAUACAACUUUAAGCAUCAAAAAAUUGACAUCCAUUGACCCAAUAAAUUGAUCAAUGAACUAAGUUACCCCAGGGAUAACAGCACAAUCCGCUUUAAGAGCCCCUAUCGACAAGCGGGCUUAUGACCUCGAUGUUGGAUCGGGGUAUCCCAGUGGUGCAACCGCUACUAAAGGUU
rnacentral:rRNA from 1 species